rnacentral:rRNA from 1 species
GAAAGCUGGGAGUGCCUUCGGGAGCCGGGAACACAGUUGGUGCAUGGCUGUCGUCAGCUCGUGUCGUGAGAUGUUUGGGUUAAGUCCCGCAACGAGCGCAACCCUCGUCUUUAGUUGCCAGCAUUAANUUGGGCACUCUAGAGAGACUGCCGGUGACAAACCGGAGGAAGGUGGGGAUGACGUCAAGUCAGCAUGCCCCUUACGCUCUGGGCGACACACGUACUACAAUGGUCGGGACAGAGGGCAGCGAACCUGCGAAGGCAAGCUGAUCCCAGCAAACUCGGCCUCAGUUCAGAUUCGCAGGCUGCAACUCGCCUGCGUGAAGGAGGAAUCGCUAGUAAUCGCCGGUCAGAAUACGGCGGUGAAUCCGUUCCCGGGCCUUGUACACACCGCCCGUCACACCAUGGAAGCUGGCCACGCCCGAAGUCGUUACCCUAACCUUUCGGGGAAGGGGACGCCGAAGGCAGGGUUGGUGACUGGGGUG